rnacentral:rRNA from 1 species
UGGGGAAUAUUGCACAAUGGGCGAAAGCCUGAUGCAGCAACGCCGCGUGAGUGAUGAAGGCCUUCGGGUCGUAAAGCUCUUUGAUCAGGGAUGAUAAUGACAGUACCUGAAAAACAAGCCACGGCUAACUACGUGCCAGCAGCCGCGGUAAUACGUAGGUGGCGAGCGUUGUCCGGAAUUACUGGGCGUAAAGGAUGCGUAGGUGGAUACUUAAGUGGGAUGUGAAAUCCCCGGGCUCAACCCGGGAACUGCAUUCCAAACUGGGUAUCUAGAGUGCAGGAGAGGAAAGCGGAAUUCCUAGUGUAGCGGUGAAAUGCGUAGAUAUUAGGAGGAACACCAGUGGCGAAGGCGGCUUUCUGGACUGUAACUGACACUGAGGCAUGAAAGCGUGGGUAGCAAACAGGAUUAGAUACCCUGGUAGUCCACGCCGUAAACGAUGGGUACUAGGUGUAGGAGGUAUCGACCCCUUCUGUGCCGUCGUUAACACAAUAAGUA